rnacentral:rRNA from 1 species
GGGGGCCUGGUCUUAGUACGAGAGGACCGGACUGGACGUACCUCCGGUGUACCGGUUGUCGCGACAGCGGCACCGCCGGGUGGCCGAGUACGGAUUGGAUAAGCGCUGAAAGCAUCUAAGCGCGAAGCCUGCCCCAAGAUGAGUCUUCCUCACAAGGGACGCCGCAGAAUACGGCGUCGAUAGGCCGCAGGUGCAAGGACGGAGACGUCUUCAGCCGAGCGGUACUAAUCACCCGAAAGCUUUCUUUGG